AUGGCGCGGGUGGAGUACCGAGGAGUCGUCGGCGUCGGCCAGGGCCUGGGGCACAGAGGAGUCCUCCUAGUCAAGGAGAUUGGAGAGAAGAAGAUGAUGGCGGCGCGAGGACACAUGAGGGUAGACGUCGAGAGGAUCGGCCGUCCAGGCUCGCAUUUUCGGAUUUGUAGGGCAUGUGCCCACGAUACUCGCACGUUGUACCUUUUUUGA
rnacentral:rRNA from 1 species